GGAGUUGGCCGGGCAGCCGCUGCGCAAGCAGAGGAAAGUCCGGGCUCCACAGGGCAGGGUGCCAGGUAACGCCUGGGCGGCGCGAGCCGACGGAAAGUGCCACAGAGAACAGACCGCCUAAGCGCGCAAGCGCCGGCAAGGGUGAAACGGUGCGGUAAGAGCGCACCGCGCGGGUGGCAACACACCGCGGCACGGCAAACCCCACCUGGAGCAAGGCCAAAUAGAGGGGCGACAGUGUGGCCCGCACUGCCCCCGGGUGGGCCGCUAGAGGUAUGCGGCGACGCAUAUCCCAGAGGGAUGGCUGCCCUCGACAGAACCCGGCUUACAGGCCAACUCCUCAC
rnacentral:RNase_P_RNA from 1 species